UUCGACGGAGAGUUUGAUCCUGGCUCAGGACGAACGCUGGCGGCGGGCCUAACACAUGCAAGUCGAACGCACUCGACCUUCGGGUCACAUGAGUGAGUGGCGAACGGGUGAGUAACACGUGAGGAACCUGCCCCGAAGACUGGAAUAACCCGAGGAAACUCGGGCUAAUACCGGAUAUCCCCACCAGGUCGCAUGGCCAGGUGAGGAAAUGCUCCGGCGCUUCGGGAGGGUCUCGCGGCCUAUCAGCUAGUUGGUGAGGUAACGGCUCACCAAGGCAUCGACGGGUAGCUGGUCUGAGAGGACGAUCAGCCACACUGGGACUGAGAUACGGCCCAG
rnacentral:rRNA from 1 species